UACGUAGGGGGCAAGCGUUGUCCGGAUUUAUUGGGCGUAAAGAGCGUGUAGGCGGCCAGGUAGGUCUGCUGUGAAAACUCGGGGCUCAACUCCGAGCUUGCAGUCGAUACGGGCAGGCUAGAGUUCGGCAGGGGAGACUGGAAUUCCUGGUGUAGCGGUGAAAUGCGCAGAUAUCAGGAGGAACACCGGUGGCGAAGGCGGGUCUCUGGGCCGAUACUGACGCUGAGGAGCGAAAGCGUGGGGAGCGAACAGG
rnacentral:rRNA from 1 species